AGAGUUUGAUCCUGGCUCAGAUUGAACGCUGGCGGUAUGCUUUACACAUGCAAGUCGAACGGAUCAAGAAGCUUGCUUCUUGGUUAGUGGCGAACGGGUGAGUAAUAUAUCGGAACAUAUCCGGAAGUGGGGGAUAACGUAGCGAAAGUUACGCUAAUACCGCAUAUGCCCUGAGGGGGAAAGGGGGGGAUCGCAAGACCUCUCGCUUUCGGAGUGGCCGAUAUCAGAUUAGCUAGAUGGUGAGGUAAAGGCUCACCAUGGCGACGAUCCGUAGCUGGUCUGAGAGGACGACCAGCCACACUGGAACUGAGACACGGUCCAGACUCCUACGGGAGGCAGCAGUGGGGAAUUUUGGACAAUGGGCGAAAGCCUGAUCCAGCCAUACCGCGUGAGUGAAGAAGGCCUUCGGGUUGUAAAGCUCUUUCAGCCGGAAAGAAAUCGCAUUCCUUAAUACGGGGUGUGGAUGACGGUACCGGAAGAAGAAGCACCGGCUAACUACGUGCCAGCCGCCGCGGU
rnacentral:rRNA from 1 species